rnacentral:rRNA from 1 species
AGAGUUUGAUCCUGGCUCAGAUUGAACGCUGGCGGCAUGCUUUACACAUGCAAGUCGAACGGCAGCACAGGGAGCUUGCUCCCGGGUGGCGAGUGGCGCACGGGUGAGUAAUACAUCGGAACGUGUCCUGUUGUGGGGGAUAACUGCUCGAAAGGUGGCUAAUACCGCAUGACACCUGAGGGUGAAAGCGGGGAUCGCAAGACCUCGCGCAAUUGGAGCGGCCGAUGCCCGAUUAGCUAGUUGGUGAGGUAAAGGCUCACCAAGGCGACGAUCGGUAGCUGGUCUGAGAGGACGACCAGCCACACUGGGACUGACGACACGGCCAGCUCCUACGGGAGCA